rnacentral:rRNA from 1 species
UACAGAGGGGGGCAAGCGUUGUUCGGAAUUACUGGGCGUAAAGGGCGCGUAGGCGGCCUGCUAAGUCGAACGUGAAAUCCCCGGGCUCAACCCGGGAACUGCGUCCGAUACUGGUGGGCUUGAAUCCGGGAGAGGGAUGUGGAAUUCCUGGUGUAGCGGUGAAAUGCGUAGAUAUCAGGAGGAACACCGGUGGUGUAGACGGCUUUCUGGACAAUCACUGACGCUGAGGUACGAAAGCGUGGGUAGCAAACAGG